rnacentral:sRNA from 1 species
AUUCUUCUAAGAGAGCAGCAACAGGACCACAUAUGCAAACUUCAUCUCCUACUACUAGAUUAUUCCUCAGGAUCAAGGAGAAAAGCUUAAAGGAAGAAAAAAUCAUCAUAGUAAAAGAAUUUGAGAAGAUACCAAAGCCAGGAGAAAUGGAGAAGAAGAUGAAAAUAUUGAGAGAAAGCACUGAAGAAUUACGUAAAGAAAUAAUGCAGAAGAAAUUAGAAAUUAAAAAUUUACGAGAAGAUUUGGCAUCUAAACAAAAGCAAUUACUAAAGGAGCAGAAGGAACUAGAAGAAUUGUUGGAACAUCAGGUCACCCUAAAGGAUGAAGUGGCCCACCAUCAAACCAUUCCAGUACAAAUUGGAAAAGAGAUAGAAAAAAUAACACGCAAAAAAGUGUAUGAUUUAAUAUUUUUACUUUGAAUCCCUGCCAGUCCAAGUUAUGUGUGCACACUAGAACAAGAGUACUAACCAUUGGACACAUUAAAUUACUAUGAUAAUUUUAGAAAUUUCUGCUUUGGGCCGUGUCUAGGUUGUUUAUAUCAAGUUCUUUAAAAGAAAGUAAUGCACCAAAUUACUAUCGUUCAUAAUAUUUAUGGCUUAAUUAUGGGUCAAGAUU